AAUAAAAUGGCUGAUUAAAGCGAUAAAUUGUAAAUUUAUUCAUGAAUUUUUUUUCUUUUAUUA
rnacentral:tRNA from 1 species